rnacentral:rRNA from 1 species
CCUACGGGAGGCAGCAGUAGGGAAUUUUCGUCAAUGGGCGCAAGCCUGAACGAGCGAUGCCGCGUGAGUGAAGAAGGCCUUCGGGUCGUAAAGCUCUGUUGCGGGGGAAAAAAAGCAGCAUUAGGAAAUGGAUGCUGACUGAUGGUGCCCCGCCAGAAAGUCACGGCUAACUACGUGCCAGCAGCCGCGGUAAUACGUAGGUGGCGAGCGUUAUCCGGAAUGAUUGGGCGUAAAGGGUGCGCAGGCGGUCCUGCAAGUCUGGAGUGAAACGCAUGGGCUCAACUCAUGCAUGGCUUUGGAAACUGGAGGACUGGAGAGCAGGAGAGGGCGGUGGAACUCCAUGUGUAGCGGUAAAAUGCGUAGAUAUAUGGAAGAACACCAGUGGCGAAGGCAGCAUACCGGCGCUCAACUGACGCUCAUGCACGAAAGUGUGGGUAUCGAACAGGAUUAGAUACCCCAGUAGUC